rnacentral:rRNA from 1 species
AUUGAACGCUGGCGGCAUGCCUAACACAUGCAAGUCGAACGGCAGCACAGCAGUAGCAAUACUGUGGGUGGCGAGUGGCGGACGGGUGAGGAAUACGUCGGAAUCUGCCCAGUCGUGGGGGGAUAACUAGCCGAAAGGUUAGCUAAUACCGCAUACGACCGAGAGGUGAAAGCGGGGGGACCGCAAGGGCCUCGCGCGAUUGGAUGAGCCGACGUCGGAUUAGGUAGUUGGUGGGGUAAAGGCCUACCAAGCCUGCGAUCGGUAACUGGUCUGAGAGGACGACCAGUCACACUGGGACUGAGACACGGCCCAGACUCCUACGGGAGGCAGCAGUGGGGAAUUUUGGACAAUGGGCGCAAGCCUGAUCCAGCAAUGCCGCGUGUGUGAAGAAGGCCUC